UACGUAGGGGGCAAGCGUUGUUCGGAAUUACUGGGCGUAAAGGGCGCGUAGGCGGCACGGCAAGUCGGGAGUGAAAGGCCUGGGCUCAACCGAGGAACUGCUUUCGAGACUGCCGAGCUAGAGUGCGGAAGGGGCAACUGGAAUUCCCAGUGUAGCGGUGAAAUGCGCAGAUAUCAGGAGGAACACCCGUGGCGAAAGCGGCUCUCUGGGACGGUACUGACGCUGAGACGCGAAAGCGUGGGGAGCAAACAGG
rnacentral:rRNA from 1 species